GCGGUGGUGCAGUGGUUAGCAUACGCUCACGAAAGGGUGAGAUCUGGGUUCGAAUCUCGGCUGACGCA